UACGAAGGGGGCUAGCGUUGUUCGGAAUUACUGGGCGUAAAGCGUGCGCAGACGGUUGCGUAAGUCAGAUGUGAAAGCCCCGGGCUCAACCUGGGAAUUGCAUUUGAGACUGCGUAGCUAGGGUGCGGAAGAGGGAAGCGGAAUUUCCGGUGUAGCGGUGAAAUGCGUAGAUAUCGGAAGGAACACCAGUGGCGAAAGCGGCUUCCUGGUCCAGCACCGACGUUCAGGCACGAAGCGUGGGAGCAAACAGG
rnacentral:rRNA from 1 species